rnacentral:tRNA from 1 species
GCUGGUGUAGCUCAAUGGACAGAGCAACUCCCUUCUAAGGAGUAGGUUGGAGGUUCGAUUCCUCUCACCAGUGCAA